GAGUUAGUAGCAGGGAUCGGGGAAAAUGCACAGGCUUUUAUACUAAGAGUAUGAAAGCAUCACGUGACAAUGGGUUGACGAAGGGCCUUCGCUCGAAACGUCGAGUUUCUGCUUAUUUUUUAAGGUAGUAAUAUAACUACUCAGCACAGCAUUUAUACUGUACAUGCACCAUAUGUAAUACACAUUUAAUAUUUAUAUAUAAAGAAUAUUGUAUAUCAAAGCCAAAUUAUCUCAAGUAUAUUUCGAACUGUGUUGUGUUUACUGAAAACUGGCGAUAAAAUUAGCGGGAAAGUGUUUGACCAAUAGAAAUACGGAAUUACCAACUGAGCUAUCUAGUUGUAGUCUACCAACUAGAUGGAUCACAGUGCUGAGCCUUUUCUCUCAGACGGUCAGCGGAUAAGAUAAUAUUGAGUAUAAAUACUUUAUUUUGCAACAACGAAAAAACAAGAGCUAUUUUUAUUAUACAAGGGCAUGAUAUCUCAAAUGUUAUCAUGUAAAAGGAGAAGUGUAUGCUAAAAUACUGGUCAAAUAUAUAUAAGCAAUAAAUAUUUCCAAAAUUCUAUCCAUGUUUUUCAUUUAAGAAGCCGCUUUAAAUUCCCAAGAGCAGACUAAAAUCGUGCGCUUUACAAAGAUAUUUUAAUUUCUUAAUAAGUCAAUAUUUAAUAUAUGCACCCUUGUCAAUAUUUGACGCAUCUUUGCAUUCAGCUUAGUGCUACAUUCGGGCAUUCAGAUUUUAACAAUACGUUGUUUCAAUGGUUUGGUUUUUUUUGGGACACCCUGUGUACUAGGAUUUAAGCAAGAGUCUUGUUAC